UAAUAAACCCGGUGGCAUGUACCUUUUUGUAAUGGGGCAGUUGACAUGUGUUUUCUUUAAAAAUUCAAAAACUUCGCCUAGUAUAUGCAAGACGCCUUAAAUCGCGCCAAUUUAGCCACUGCUUCUGUUUGGCCAAUAUUUUUUUCCUUGCAGCAAAGUGGCGUGCCUCAUUUUUCGUUCACGCAAUUACCAGACCUAAAAGCCGGUAUAGGUUAGAAAAAUUGAGUUCAAUAUGUUUCCAAUAUUUGUACGUAAUAUUGGUUGGCGUCACUUAGGUUGCUGCAAAAUGAGUCCGCCUCAUCAAAACUUUGCAGCUGGAUGGCUGCUGUAUAGCUCUAAAGCUUCUUCUAAUGGAGUCAAUGUGCAAAAAUCCAAAAUCAGCAAGGCCAUGAAGGCAUACCUUGAACGAGCGAAGGAAUAUGAAAGUUGUAUGAACACGGCUCGGUUGGAGUACAAACUUGGUAAACGGCACUUGGCAAACAUGAUGGGUGCCGAUGUAGAAAGUUUCUCUCAGCAAGACGUCGAUCAAGCUGUUCAAUAUCUUUUCCCCUCUGGGCUGUACGAUCCUGCUGCAAGACCUACCAUGAAGCACCCAGAAGAAUUUAUUCCCAAAACUAAAGGUGCUGAAUUUGACGAAACGGGUCGCCCUUUUCAUCCAUUAUUCUUCACUGGUCGACCGAAUUUCUUCCAACUGCUUUACGAUAUCGUGGAAAAUAUAAAUAUGUUGGACGCGUUGGAAGAUAGUGAUAGAGUUAAGAAUAGAACCAACGAUUCCGUCAUACGUCAACUUAAUCUAACGGGUUCCGAAUGGUUGACCAAAGAAAUGUUGGAAAAAAAAAUUGUCGAGAUCAUCUCCAAUACUGAGUAUGAUAAUUUUGUUGAUGCCAUGAAUCGUUUGGCGCAACAUCCGUUAUCAAACAAGGCUAAAAGCUUCAUAUUGGAGUACAGGAAACCGUUGAUAUCGGCCCAGGAUAAUGAUACAAUACCCGUACUGCAGCAUGAUACGGAUGGUCGACAAUAUGUUACAAUAUACGAGUGUCUUCGAAAAACAGCUCGCGGAGAUGUAACUAUUAAGUAUCCUGGCAACGGUACUGUUAUAAUAAAUGGCCAGGACUUGUGUAGUGUAGGUAGUACGCAGCAACGUGAUCAGAAAUUUGUGGGAAGCUCCCAUCGGUUAAUGGGAAUCACAGAAACAUCGACAAACUGGAGAGUGGAUUACCAGCAGCCGCUUUGGCACGAUCUGUCACGACGUUUACCUUUGGACUACUGACAAACCGAAAGAGCAUCACGUUGCCAUGGCCGAAUCAAUGAACCUGCUCUCCGAAUCAUAUUUCCCUGCUAUUGCGUUGACAGAAGAGAAUCACACCACACAAUGAUGUAGCAUGCUUCUAUGAGCACAUCUAUGAAGGAAGAAUUAGAAACGGUCGUCCGCGGUUUUGAGUGCUGUCGACAGCAAGCUUCUGUUUUCAACCAAUUGUUGUUAAAAGUUUCGCAUUGUAAAGUUGUAUUUCCUUUCAAUCGGAAAUGAGCCUCACAAACCUAUUUUACUCAAGAUAGCCAAGGAUAAUAUUUCCUUUGUUAUUUACAAAUAUGUUAGACAAAGUGGAUGUAUAUGCCAAAGUAUCGGGAGGAGGAUCGUCGUCUAGAGCAGGUGCUGUAAGAUGGGGAAUUGCUAUGGCACUUUGUUCUUUCGUUGAUAAGGGC